GUAAAACAAACAUACAGUCAAUAAUACAGUAGAAAAAUCUAAGGCAUGUACAGUGGGGCUAGGGGCUCGGCAGUAAACUAAAACAAUGAUAAUUAUCCUAAACAACAGUAUACAAGGCAUAUUGACAUAUUGACACACAGAUAAAUAAAGGUAAACAAAGUGGAGUACUGUGAUAAAUGAACAGUCCAGGAGGCAUCAGCUAUGUAGCCAAGUGAUCAUAGGGUCCAGGGCACAGCAAUAGUUGAAACAGGGAAGCAGCUAGGUAGUCGUUACUACGCUAGCACGCGGGAGACACAGCGUUUAAAGUUAGCAGUCCGGGGUAAGUAGAAGCGUCUGCUCUGUCGUCCGGCAAAGGCCGGUUGAAGGCACAGCUGAGAGAAUUACGUCUGCGGACCAGUCGUGGUGGUACGGCGGGGCGCCGUGUCGACGAAGGGACCGGGCCUGAUGGCGAAAGAGGACCUGAGCCCUAGGACCAUGCCUCAGGACUACCUGGCAUGAUGACUCCUUGCUGUCCCCAGUCCAACUGGCCGUGCUGCUGCUCCAGUUUCAACUGUUCUGCCUGCGGCUAUGGAACCCUGACCCGUUCACCGGACGUGCUACCUGUCCCAGACCUGCUGUUUUCAACUCUCGAGACAGCAGGAGUGCUCAUGAAACAUGGGACCAACACUUUGCAUGUGUAACCAUGCCAGCCCAGGAUUUCCACAUCGGGCUUAGUUACCGCGAGAUCGUCUGAGACCAGUCACCUGGACAGCUGAUGAAACUGAGGAGUAUAAAUAAAGCUCUUUUGUGGGGAAGAACUCAUUCUGAUUUGCUGGGCAUCACUCCCCAGUAAUGUUAAAUCCAUAGUUUAGAG
rnacentral:lncRNA from 1 species